rnacentral:lncRNA from 1 species
AACUUGAGGACAUCCUCGGUGACAUUUGGCACUCUAAAUGUAAUGCUCAAUUCUUCAAAAUCCUUUAAAUGAAGAUACGGACUUUUGGACUCUAACCCAUGAAACUUGGGCAGCAAUUGGAUUACCCCUGGUUUGAUGUCAAAAUGUCCUACAUUAUCAGGAAAAAUUAUGCAUGAAGGCUAACUAGUCCUAGCCGGUUGUAGGUAUUGUCUUAGAGUCAUAACAUGGGGUUCUCGUUCUCGAUUGUGGUGACUCCCCGCAUCUUCAUUUAGAUCAGCCAUCUCACAAGGUGUGAGAUAUUGCGAAGGAAUUUCAGAGGUAUGUCCUAAGGGAUGAUCUGAAGUUGUACGACUUAAUCGACCGGUGUCGUCCCUAUUCCACUUUAGCAUGCAAAAUAAUUUCCUCUCUUUUUUUU